rnacentral:rRNA from 1 species
AUGUACCAGAAGUACGUUGCCGAGUUGGACACGAUUACGCCUGAGCAGGUGGAAUGGCAGCCAUAUGGCGCCGAUGACAGACUUGGGUACACCCCGGAGUUUAGCAUCAACCCGAUGUGCUUGCGGGAUAGGGAUCUCUGGCUUAUGCGGUGCCCACUGAUAUGCAACUGGGCUGUUGAGUUUCAUUUGCCACAUCGCGUGUUUCGUCAGUUUGGUCUGUUCCAGCCUCACCCGCCGGAAUGGGUGGAUACGGACAAAGCACUUCAUAGGUUGGACAGGAGAAGGCAGCGGAAGAUAAAGGACUGGGACAAGCAUCAUGCUUCGUAUGUUACCCGCUUCCAGCUUUGCGUGGAGCAAGCUCGUAGCAGUGCACGCGCCCAGCUUCGUGAGCAUAACCCACUUGCUUUUGAUAACUACAUACGAUGGCUUCUUGAAAAUACUCGAGUUGAGAUAUGCCCGCCAGCAUAUAAUGAGGAUAUUCUUGAAGAACCCGUAAACUUUGAGGAUCUAUCGAAGGGGAAGUACAACAGAGAUGUCAGGGUAGGGCAAGGAGUCCCUGCUGUUCCGGUGAUUAACUAUGUGCGCACCGAGAUCAAGAAAGCAGCUGAUGAGAGCCAGUCUAUUCUCGAGAACACACCGGUUGGAAAAGGCAAUGAUGAUGGUUCACUACGAGCAUUCCUCAAGCGUCAGGCCAAGAAGUUAAGGCGGUUAUCGAAUCUUCUCGGUUGCCGUGAUCCCGAAUUUGAUGAACCAUCUGCCUCUAGGUCUGGUACACCAUCAGACCCCUCAUCUCACCAUCAGGGGGACGAUGUGAGUUCCUCAUAUGCUUAUCUGGAUGAUGAUGGC